GAUCAUGGCUCAGGACGAACGCUGGCGGCGUGCCUAAUACAUGCAAGUAGAACGCUGAAGAGAGGAGCUUGCUCUUCUUGGAUGAGUUGCGAACGGGUGAGUAACGCGUAGGUAACCUGCCUUGUAGCGGGGGAUAACUAUUGGAAACGAUAGCUAAUACCGCAUAACAAUGGAUGACACAUGUCAUUUUAUUUGAAAGGGGCAAUUGCUCCACUACAAGAUGGACCUGUCG
rnacentral:rRNA from 1 species